rnacentral:rRNA from 1 species
CAAGUCGUGGGGCAGCAUGGUGUAGCAAUACACUGAUGGCGACCGGCAAACGGGUGCGGAACACGUACGCAACCUUCCUUUAAGUGGAGAAUAGCCCGGCGAAAGCCGGAUUAAUACUCCGUAACAUUAUGAAGUGGCAUCACUUUAUAAUUAUAGCUCCGGCGCUUAAAGAUGGGCGUGCGUCUGAUUAGGUAGUUGGCGGGGUAACGGCCCACCAAGCCUACGAUCAGUAACUGGUGUGAGAGCACGACCAGUCACACGGGCACUGAGACACGGGCCCGACUCCUACGGGAGGCAGCAGUAAGGAAUAUUGGUCAAUGGACGCAAGUCUGAACCAGCCAUGCCGCGUGAAGGAUGAAGGUCCUCUGGAUUGUAAACUUCUUUUAUUUGGGAAGAAACCCAAGAUUUCUAUUUUGGUUGACGGUACCAGAUGAAUAAGCACCGGCUAACUCCGUGCCAGCAGCCGCGGUAAUACGGAGGGUGCAAGCGUUAUCCGGAUUCACUGGGUUUAAAGGGUGCGUAGGCGGGCAGGUAAGUCCGUGGUGAAAUCUCCAAGCUUAACUUGGAAACUGCCGUGGAUACUAUUUGUCUUGAAUAUAGUGGAGGUGAGCGGAAUAUGUCAUGUAGCGGUGAAAUGCUUAGAUAUGACAUAGAACACCCAUUGCGAAGGCAGCUCGCUACACUAUUAUUGACGCUGAGGCACGAAAGCGUGGGGAUCAAACAGGAUUAGAUACCCUGGUAGUCCACGCCCUAAACGAUGAUUACUCGACAUCAGCGAUACACUGUUGGUGUCUGAGCGAAAGCAUUAAGUAAUCCACCUGGGAAGUACGACCGCAAGGUUGAAACUCAAAGGAAUUGACGGGGGUCC